AAACCUAAGUCGUGAUGUGCUUCUCUCAAAGAAGAAAAUCUGAAGAACGUGGAGAAAAAUUGCACGGGUUCAGAACCCACGAAGCUGACGGUUUCCACAAUUUUAGAAACCAUCACCACCAUGUUACCUAUAUUUUUCUUCGUCCACUUCAUUGGCACCUUUUCUGCUUCAGAAAUCGAAAUCGAAAUUGCGAGUAAUCACCCAAGAGCACCCGGUGUAAAGACUGGCCAGACUCGAAAAACUUCCUUUCUCAUUCCGCACCACACCUGUUAUCCUGUAACUGAAGAUAAAGGAGGUAGGGUUCACACUCAGAAAGAGAGAAUAUUUAAAUUCGUACAGGAGGGAUAGUGUUCAAGUUAUUUAUCAGUACUUGGACGAGAACAAGUCAUUGAUUCUGAAGAUCGUUGAGAGCCAGAAUACAGGGAAAUUGAGUGAAUGCGUAAAAUGUUGUUUCGCUAGAGCACCAAUGAAGAAAGCAUUUAGAUUUGAUGUGUUUGAUGUCAAUGUAUGAAUCAUAGUUAAGCAGUCGUCCAAUUGCUAUCAAAAGUGAAGAUUGACAAUGAAAAAGUGAAAGAUCAUUUAGAGAGGAACGGGUGGCUCAAGUGAUCUUGAUCGUUGCAUGUCUUCCUCCUAUGUGCAUAUUAUGUAAAUAUUUAUGUCCAGAAUCUAAUCACGCGAUGUUAUGUAGAAUGAAAAUAUUAUAUUACUUAAAUUAUUUGAGAUUUUCCUAUUAAUGUUGGAUUUGCUUUGGAUAAUAUUAACGUGUUGGUCAUUAA